rfam:Pseudozyma antarctica T-34 DNA, contig: scaffold00010.
GGGUCUUUAGCUCAGCAGUAGAGCGGCAGACUUCGGUUUAAUCUGAAGGUCCUAUCAGGCAUUCUGCAGGUCGCGGGUUCAAUCCCCGUAGGACUCU